rnacentral:rRNA from 1 species
AAAUUGAGAGUUUGAUCCUGGCUCAGGACGAACGCUGGCGGCGUGCCUAAUACAUGCAAGUCGAGCGAGCUGAAUUCAAAGAUCCCUUCGGGGUGAUUUGUUGGACGCUAGCGGCGGAUGGGUGAGUAACACGUGGGCAAUCUGCCCUAAAGACUGGGAUACCACUUGGAAACAGGUGCUAAUACCGGAUAACAACAUGAAUCGCAUGAUUCAAGUUUGAAAGGCGGCGUAAGCUGUCACUUUAGGAUGAGCCCGCGGCGCAUUAGCUAGUUGGUGGGGUAAAGGCCUACCAAGGCAAUGAUGCGUAGCCGAGUUGAGAGACUGAUCGGCCACAUUGGGACUGAGACACGGCCCAAACUCCUACGGGAGGCAGCAGUAGGGAAUCUUCCACAAUGGACGCAAGUCUGAUGGAGCAACGCCGCGUGAGUGAAGAAGGUUUUCGGAUCGUAAAGCUCUGUUGUUGGUGAAGAAGGAUAGAGGCAGUAACUGGUCUUUAUUUGACGGUAAUCAACCAGAAAGUCACGGCUAACUACGUGCCAGCAGCCGCGGUAAUACGUAGGUGGCAAGCGUUGUCCGGAUUUAUUGGGCGUAAAGCGAGCGCAGGCGGAAUGAUAAGUCUGAUGUGAAAGCCCACGGCUCAACCGUGGAACUGCAUCGGAAACUGUCAUUCUUGAGUGCAGAAGAGGAGAGUGGAAUUCCAUGUGUAGCGGUGGAAUGCGUAGAUAUAUGGAAGAACACCAGUGGCGAAGGCGGCUCUCUGGUCUGCAACUGACGCUGAGGCUCGAAAGCAUGGGUAGCGAACAGGAUUAGAUACCCUGGUAGUCCAUGCCGUAAACGAUGAGCGCUAGGUGUUGGGGACUUUCC